rnacentral:rRNA from 1 species
UUCCGGUUGUUCCUGCGGAGGCCACUGCUACUUGGGUUCGACUAAGCCAUGCGAGUCGAGAGGGUUCGGCCCUCGGCGGACUGCUCAGUAACACGUGGAUAACCUACCCUUAGGUGGGGGAUAACCUCGGGAAACUGAGGAUAAUACCCCAUAGGUCUAGGAUGCUGGAAUGCACCUAGGCCGAAAGCUCCGGCGCCUAAGGAUGGGUCUGCGGCCUAUCAGGUUGUAGUCAGGGUAAUGACCUGACUAGCCUACGACGGGUACGGGCCCUGAGAGGGGGAGCCCGGAGAUGGACUCUGAGACACGGCCCCAGGCCCUACGGGGUGCAGCAGGCGCGAAAACUCCGCAAUACGCGCAAGCGUGACGGGGGGACCCCAAGUGCGCUCGCGCAAGCGAGGGCUUUUGCAGAGUGUAAAUAGCUCUGAGAAUAAAAGCGGGGUAAGACCGGUGCCAGCCGCCGCGGUAACACCGGCCGCUUGAGUGGUGACCGCUAUUAUUGGGCCUAAAGCGUUCGUAGCCGGUCUGGUAAGUCCUUGGGUAAAUCCACUCGUUUAACGAAUGGAAUCCUAGGGAUACUGCUAGACUUGGGGCCGGGAGAGGUCGGAGGUACUUCUAGGGUAGCGGUGAAAUGCUGUAAUCCUAGAGGGACCACCAGUGGCGAAGACGUCCGACCAGAACGGGCCCGACGGUGAGGGACGAAAGCCAGGGGAGCGAACGGGAUUAGAUACCCCGGUAGUCCUGGCCGUAAACGCUGUGGGCUAGGUGUUGCAUGCUCUACGAGGGCAUGCAGUGCCGAAGAGAAGUUGAUAAGCCUACCGCCUGGGAAGUAUUAUCGCAAGAUAGAAACUUAAAGGAAUUGGCGGGGGAGCACCACAAGGGGUGAAGUCUGCGGUUUAAUUGGAUCAACGCCGGAAAU